GCCUACGGGGCGCAGCAGUGAGGAAUAUUGGUCAAUGGGCGAGAGCCUGAACCAGCCAAGUCGCGUGAAGGAUGACGGCCCUACGGGUUGUAAACUUCUUUUGUCAGGGAGCAAUUGGGUCCACGCGUGGGCUUAGCGAGAGUACCUGAAGAAAAAGCAUCGGCUAACUCCGUGCCAGCAGCCGCGGUAAUACGGAGGAUGCGAGCGUUAUCGGGAUUUAUUGGGUUUAAAGGGUGCGCAGGCGGGCUGUUAAGCCGGCGGUAAAAAUUAAGGGCUCAACCCUGUCGAGCCGUCGAAAUUGGCAG
rnacentral:rRNA from 1 species